rnacentral:rRNA from 1 species
AGAGUUUGAUCCUGGCUCAGGAUAAACGCUGGCGGCGCACAUAAGACAUGCAAGUCGAACGAACUUAACCAUUAGUUUACUAUUGGAGCGGUUAGUGGCGGACUGGUGAGUAACACGUAAGCAACCUGCCUAUCAGAGGGGAACAACAGUUAGAAAUGACUGCUAAUACCGCAUAUGCCUUGAGUAUCACAUGGUACAAAAGGGAAAGGAGCAAUCCGCUGAUAGAUGGGCUUGCGUCUGAUUAGAUAGUUGGUGAGGUAACGGCCCACCAAGUCGACGAUCAGUAGCCGGACUGAGAGGUUGAACGGCCACAUUGGGACUGAGAUACGGCCCAGACUCCUACGGGAGGCAGCAGUCGGGAAUAUUGCGCAAUGGAGGAAACUCUGACGCAGUGACGCCGCGUGCAGGAAGAAGGUUUUCGGAUUGUAAACUGCUUUAGACAGGGAAGAAACAAGACAGUACCUGUAGAAUAAGCUCCGGCUAACUACGUGCCAGCAGCCGCGGUAAUACGUAGGGAGCAAGCGUUAUCCGGAUUUAUUGGGUGUAAAGGGUGCGUAGACGGGAAAUUAAGUUAGUUGUGAAAUCCCUCGGCUUAACUGAGGAACUGCAACUAAAACUGAUUUUCUUGAGUGCUGGAGAGGAAAGUGGAAUUCCUAGUGUAGCGGUGAAAUGCGUAGAUAUUAGGAGGAACACCAGUGGCGAAGGCGACUUUCUGGACAGUAACUGACGUUGAGGCACGAAAGUGUGGGGAGCAAACAGGAUUAGAUACCCUGGUAGUCCACACCGUAAACGAUGGAUACUAGGUGUAGGGUGUGAUAAACAUUCUGUGCCGUCGCAAACGCAGUAAGUAUCCCACCUGGGGAGUACGGCCGCAAGGUUGAAACUCAAAGGAAUUGACGGGGGCCCGCACAAGCAGUGGAGUAUGUGGUUUAAUUCGAAGCAACGCGAAGAACCUUACCAGGUCUUGACAUCCAACUAACGAAGUAGAGAUACAUUAGGUGCCCUUCGGGGAAAGUUGAGACAGGUGGUGCAUGGUUGUCGUCAGCUCGUGUCGUGAGAUGUUGGGUUAAGUCCCGCAACGAGCGCAACCCUUGCUAUUAGUUGCUACGCAAGAGCACUCUAAUAGGACUGCCGUUGACAAAACGGAGGAAGGUGGGGACGACGUCAAAUCAUCAUGCCCCUUAUGACCUGGGCUACACACGUACUACAAUGGAUGUUAACAGAGGGAAGCAAGACAGCGAUGUGGAGCAAACCCCUAAAAACAUUCUCAGUUCAGAUUGCAGGCUGCAACCCGCCUGCAUGAAGAUGGAAUUGCUAGUAAUCGCGGAUCAGCAUGCCGCGGUGAAUACGUUCCCGGGCCUUGUACACACCGCCCGUCACACCAUGAGAGCCGUCAAUACCCGAAGUCCGUAGCCUAACCGCAAGGAGGGCGCGGCCGAAGGUAGGGGUGGUAAUUAGGGUGAAGUCGUAACAAGGUAGCCGUAUCGGAAGGUGCGGCUG